AGCUAAGAAUCUUCCGCAAUGGACGCGAGUCUGACGGAGCGACGCCGCGUGAACGAUGAAGGCCGUGAGGUUGUAAAGUUCUUUUCCAGGGGAGGAAUAAGGAUGGCAGGGAAUGGCCGUCUGAUGACGUGAACCUGGGAAUAAGCCCCGGCUAACUACGUGCCAGCAGCCGCGGUAACACGUAGGGGGCGAGCGUUGUUCGGAAUUAUUGGGCGUAAAGGGUGCGCAGGCGGCAUGCCAAGUCUGGUGUGAAAGGCCCCGGCUCAACCGGGGAAACGCACUGGAAACUGGCGUGCUAGAGUACAGGAGGGGGAGUUGGAAUUCCAGGUGUAGGGGUGAAAUCUGUAGAUAUCUGGAAGAACACCAGUGGCGAAGGCGACUCUCUGGGUUAACACUGACGCUGAGGUACGAAAGCUGGGGGAGCGAACGGGAUUAGAUACCCCGGUAGUCCCAGCCGUAAACGAUGGAUACUAGGUGUUGGAGGUUCGAAUCCUUCAGUGCCGGAGUUAACGCAUUAAGUAUCCCGCCUGGGGAUUACGAUCGCAAGAUUG
rnacentral:rRNA from 1 species